rnacentral:tRNA from 1 species
GCGGCUAUAGUUAAAUGGUAUAAUAUCACCUUCCCAAGGUGAGGAUGUGGGUUCAAUUCCCGCUAGCCGCU